AGGUCUGUUGGGUGGGGUAAUUGGAAGUCUCAUGUCUGUCCCACUUUAUCUCUAUGGGUGCAGAUACACUGCAUUCCAUUUUUCUCAACGUGCAUCCCCCAUGCAAGUUGGGGUGGUGGUGGGGUAGAGCUAAUGGUUUCUUUUCUCCAUUGUGGCAAACUGAGCUGGUUUGUUGCUUAAGGUUCCUCUCCCCUGGCCAUCUACCAUUUCCUCCUCCAUCCCAUCUCUUUCUUGAUCCUACUACCAGUCAGAAUGGUUUCCUUGCCUUGUCCUUGAGCUUUGAUGGCAUGGGCAGCAGAUCUUAAUGCAUCAUACCAAACUCAGAUGCAUGCAACAGUUAGCUUGUCUGAGAAGUGCAUUCUGCUGGUGGAUGAAGAAAUGCUGCAGCAAUACUUACAUUAGUGCAUAUUUGUUUACCUCCAACUGUGUCUGUAAACCUAUGGCUUUUAUCUAUGGUUACAGCACAAAAAAUGUGAGGGUCAUAUUGCAACAACAGCCUUUGGUAGAUGUCACCAUCUCAAGACCCUCCCUUGUUGAUCUUUUCUUCCAAAGUGAAUGAAGGAUUCAAUUAGAAAAACUGUCAACAUAAAUAGGUGACCAAAUUUUCUGGUCAACUACCGAGAAAUUUCUCAACAUAGAGUACUGCCCUCCAUAAUUAUCUUAAUUUGCAAAGAUAACUAAAAUAAUGGAGUCACCAGUCACAAUCACAGAUAACUUGCUGGAGAAAAACCCAUAGAAAAAAAGCAUUUUGAUUAAUUGAAGAAGGAUUAAACUGUAAAAAUGCAUCCCUUGGACAUGUUGUUGUACAUGUAAUCCUUCCAGUCCAUUUGUCUGGCACUCUGAUCCAAGACAAUUAUUAUUCAGUAAAUCUGCAGCAAAAGUUCUGCAUCAGAGUCCAUGCACAAGUUUCUCUGUAGAAACCUGUUGCUUUGUUUCUCUCUAUGCUGGCAUUGUGUUUGAAAUCACAACAUAAGAGAGAGAUGUGGGGGAAGUUUAGCUGUAAAGUUUAGCUUGGAUUCCUUCAUCUCUUAGAUUUCUCAGCAGCUGCACAUCGAUUUGCUCAUCACAAUAAUGCCAGUGCAGUCAUGUGUAUAAACUAAUAGUCCUGAAACUCUCUCCAGAACUCAACAACAAUAAACAAAGAGCAAGUUUAGCCAACUUGACACUGUCCUGCCCACGCCUUGUUCUGUAUUUGCUGCCAAAUUGCUUCCUCCUGUUCUCCACUCCUUAAUCUCUUUUGGUGAUUUGUGUGCUGCAGUAGUUGGUACUCUGUUUCCAAAAAAUAAUCCAUUUUUCUAUUCAUGGUAGCCAGAAAAUUCCAAACGGUCAACUUAUCAAAUGCACAUUCAGAUUGUUUGGUUGUCAAGUUUUUAUAUCAAGCCAAUGCUCACAGCUUUGUGAAUGUCGACUUGUGUGUUGAAACAGGUGGCAAAUUGCAAACCAUCUUUGUUCUCAUCACAAGCUACUGUUUGGAUUGACAAUCCAUUCCAACUCCAUCACCACACCUAAACAAGGCAGGAAUGUGUCUCUUCUCUCUUAAAUCUGAUCCAUUGAACCAACCAGUUCUUAGACCAAGCUAAAAGAGUCUGAUACCAGUGUCCUUUUGCAGGGGAAGAAAUGAACAGGACCACCGUCAUUAUUGCCACCACUGCUUCUUUGGAUUCAGAUGAAUCUACUGUAGAGGGAGGUAAUGCUUGCUUCCUGCAGGAGUGAGGGUACAGCAUAUGGUGCUACUAUCAGUGGGUAUGAGAGCUACAACAGAGUAGAGGUAAAAGAAAAGAGGCCUUCUUUUAUUCCAUUGUUGGCUCUUCAGUUUGAUAAGAGCCACUUAAGAGAGUCAUGACAAGUCAAAGCAAAGUAAACUCUACUUACAUUUAACUACAAUAGAAUUAACAGUGUUGUACAAUUGUUUUGGAGUUUUGCAUCUUUUUCUUGUUGCUGAAGUCUGGUGUUGUGAAAUUCCCAAUCUGGAAAUGACAUUAAUAUAAUCUUUUAAUUAGAAUCAAGACCAUGUUUUGACAUGAUGAUCAUAAUAAUUGGUGGGUAUGCCUUGGCAGCCAUGAUUCAUGGUGAAUACUUGUUUAGGACAACACUUUGCAUCACUGCUAGAUCUAAGCCACCACAUGUGUGACUCCUCAAUCAUAUAUUUGUGCUAAAAACUAAGUGAAAUAUAACUUUUAAAACAUGUGUCUAUUAAAGAUUGAACAUUAAGUUCAUCAGAGGAAGAAUCUACCAACAUGUUUGUAAUGUGGAUCCAAAUCAACGAAAGGGAAGAAAAAUGAUUGGACCCAGAUGCACAUCUCAACAUAGUGACCAAAUUUGUCCUCAUCAGGUACUUAUGCACUGUACUCAAUAUAUCACUGAUAAUUAUGUCAGUAUAUUUCUUAUCUUGGCUUUUGAUUUCCUGUUUUCUGACUUGUUUGGCAAUUGAAAACCCAGGCCUCAGACUUUGGAUUGGAGAAAGUUUGAGAAGUCAUGGCUUUUGACCUUUUCCCUAUUUGGCUUUCUAUCAUUAGGAACUAAAAGAAGGCCUUUGACCUUUUGGUAACCCUUUAAAGAUUAGAGAUUUGAAUGACUUUUUAUGUUGGCUUUGGAUCAGUAGGUUCUAGAAGGCCUUUGACUUUUUGGAAGUCUGGAAAAAUUAGGGAUUUGGAUGCCAGCAGUCAGCCACAGAGAUGUUGGGUUGGCAAGAAAUCUUUUGAGCAACAUUUCAACACCAUCCUUGGGGACCUUCUUGAAGAUCCAAAUGCAAACCCCAACAGUGGGAUCUUGAAAUCUACUACUGCAAACACUCAGAUGUUGAAGGUUUCCUUUGCUGCUAUUGCCUCCCCCCCCACAAAAACAACAUAUAUGGAAUGAGAAGAUCCAAGACAAGAUGGAUUGGGAUCUCACAUGAAUCAAGUGAAACAGAGUUCAACUAAUGGUAUGAUAUUAGAAUGUUUUUAACAAUACUUUAUUUGUUGAUGUGCAGUAAGAAGAGCCAUCAGUGCAAGAGUUUGCUGAAGAAAAACCAGUUUGGGACUCAACAAAUACAUUCUAUGCUGAGAUGUGACCUCUCACACAACACUUUAGAUUGAAUUAGGAAUUUUUUCACAUCUAUAUAUAUUGUUGUAAAGUUUGAAAAUAGAGUAUCUUGCGCUAAU